rnacentral:rRNA from 1 species
UACGAAGGGGGCUAGCGUUGUUCGGAAUCACUGGGCGUAAAGGGCGCGUAGGCGGCUUGAUCAGUCGGGGGUGAAAGCCUGUGGCUCAACCACAGAAUUGCCUUCGAUACUGUCUGGCUUGAGACCGGAAGAGGUAAGUGGAACUGCGAGUGUAGAGGUGAAAUUCGUAGAUAUUCGCAAGAACACCAGUGGCGAAGGCGGCUUACUGGUCCGGUUCUGACGCUGAGGCGCGAAAGCGUGGGGAGCAAACAGG